GUGGGAAAGGGUCCCUUCCAAGAGGCUCAAGACAGGGCUGCCCGAGGACUGGUGGUCUGGAAAGAGCUCCUCUCUUGCGUCCACCUGAUUCCCCAACGCCUCAAUUGGAAUGGGUGCUUCAGCCCAGGCUGGCAGGCAGCCCAGAAGGCCAGGAAAACUUUCCCUUUGGAUCGUCUCCUCCCUUCCGGCUUUCCCGCUGGAUCCCAAUCCCAUCUGCCUCAGGCUUGGAUUCUCAGCAUUUAGUUCCAUCCUGAAGUGAGAAGAGAGAUUUUGACCUGGAAAUCCCUGCAAAACUAGCAGGGCCUUGUAGAUAAUAUGUUAUGACUGGGUAAAUGUCAAAUGAAGGAAUGAAGCGAGGAACUGUCGCCCCCAUGGUUCCCUUCUGUUCUUCCUGGAGUCAAGAACCAGAUCAAGAUGCAGAAUAUUUCCAGCAUGCCGGAAGGCUCCCUCAUGCCUCCCCAGUCGGUACCCUCCCCACAGCCUGAAUAAUAUGCCAUUGUAUGGAUAUACCACAUUCUGUUUAUCCCUGCAUCCACUGAUGGACACUUGGGUUGCUUCCACCUUUUGGCUAUCGUGGAUAAUGCUGCUGUGAACAUGGCUGUACAGAUGUCUCUUAGAGACUCUGCUUUCAGUUCUUUGGGGUGUGUAUCCAGAACUGGAUCAUAUGACACACUCAUCCUUGUCUUGGGAGACAACUCAAAGUCACACCCAGGAUCUCCACGUCAAGCACAUUCUUCCCCCUCGAACCAGGAGCUUCCAGUACCAGGGAGGAGGAAAGGAGAGAGAGCCAAGAGACAAGGAAAGGAAGAGAAAGAAGAGGAACAGAGAGCACCCCAAAGUACCACAAACUGAGUGGCUUGUAAACAACAGAAACUUACUGCUCACCCUUCUGGAGGCUGGAUCCGAGAUGAGGGUGCCAACAUGCCUGGGUUCUGCUGAGGGCCCUCUGCCGGGUUGCCGAUGGCUUGCUAUGUCCUCACAAGGCAGAAGGAAGGGGGUCCCAAGGCAGCUGUUCCCUCAAGACUGUCCAGCCUGCAGCUGCCAAGCUCAGAGGCCAGCCCAGCUACAGGAUCAGCUCAGCGUGGUCACUCUCGACCCCACUCCUCCCCUCCUCACUCCUUCUGUUCUCCAUUUCCUGUCCUGGGUGUUCCUUGUCGCCACCAGCAGUGGAAGAAGAUGAGACUGUGUCUGUGAGCAGAAGAGCAUCACUGGACUCAGCUGAGAAAACUGGGAGGAAGCUUCGAAUGGAUAUCUGCAUACUUGUGUUCACAGCAGCAUCAUUCACAGUAGUCAAAAGGCAGAAGCAACCCAAAUGCCCAUGGACAGAUGAGGGGGUAAACAAAAUGUGAUGUACACAGACAAUGGGAUAUUAUCCAGCCUCAAAAAGGAAGGAAAUUCUGACACACACUACAACAUGGAUGAACCUUGAAGACAUUAUACUAAUCGAAAUAAGCCAGACACAAGAGAACGAGUACAAUAUGAUUCCAUUAAUGUGAAGUAUCUGGAAUAGUCCAAUUCACAGAGACAAAAGGAGAAUGGUGGUUACCAGAGGCUGGAAGGGGUUGGGGAAGGGAGAAUUAGUGUUUAACGGGCGCUGAGUUUCAGUCUGGGGAGCUGAAAAAGCUCUGGUGAUGGAUGCCGGUGAUGAUGGCACAACUACCUGAAUGUACCUAGUGCCAAUGAACUGUACACUUAAAAAUCGUUAAAAUGAUAAAUUUUAUGUUAUGUAUAUUUUAUCACAAUAAAAAAUUUAAGGGCUGGCCCCGUGGCCGAGUGGUUAAGUUCGCGCGCUCCGCUGCAGGCAGCCCAGCGUUUCGUUGGUUCGAAUCCUGGGUGCGGACAUGGCACUGCUCAUCAGACCACGCUGAGGCAGCGUCCCACAUGCCACAACUAGAAGAACCCACAACGAAGAAUAUACAACUAUGUACCGGGGGGCUUUGGGGAGAAAAAGGAAAUAAUAAAAUCUUUAAAAAAAAAAAAAAUU
ensembl:lncRNA